rnacentral:rRNA from 1 species
AGAGUUUGAUCAUGGCUCAGAACGAACGCUGGCGGCGUGGAUAAGACAUGCAAGUCGAACGAGACUUUUCGUUGUAGCAAUACGAUGGAAAGUUUAGUGGCGAACGGGUGCUUAACACGUGGGCAACCUGCCAUGAAGUGGGGGAUAGCUCGUCGAAAGGCGAAUUAAUACCGCAUGUGAUUAGAGUGGACAUCCAUUCAAAAUUAAAGUCGGGGCAACCUGACGCUUCUUGUGGGGCCCGCGGCCUAUCAGCUAGUUGGUGAGGUAACGGCUCACCAAGGCUUUGACGGGUAGCUGGUCUGAGAGGACGACCAGCCACACUGGGACUGAGACACGGCCCAGACACCUACGGGUGGCAGCAGUCGAGAAUUUUUGACAAUGGGGGAAACCCUGAUCGAGCGACGCCGCGUGGAGGAUGAAGGUCUUCGGAUUGUAAACUCCUGUCAUUGGGGAACAAUGCACAGAUAUUAACUGUAUUUGUGUUGAUAGUACCCGAAGAGGAAGGGACGGCUAACUCUGUGCCAGCAGCCGCGGUAAUACAGAGGUCCCAAGCGUUGUUCGGAUUCAUUGGGCGUAAAGGGUGCGUAGGCGGCGCGGUAAGUCGGGUGUGAAAUCUCGGGGCUUAACUCCGAAACUGCAUUCGAUACUGCCGUGCUUGAGGACUGGAGAGGAGACUGGAAUUUACGGUGUAGCGGUGAAAUGCGUAGAUAUCGUAAGGAAGACCAGUGGCGAAGGCGGGUCUCUGGACAGUUCCUGACGCUGAGGCACGAAGGUCAGGGGAGCAAACGGGAUUAGAUACCCCAGUAGUCC